GACGAACGCUGGCGGCGUGCCUAAUACAUGCAAGUAGAACGCUGAAGAGAGGAGCUUACUCUUCUUGGAUGAGUUGCGAACGGGUGAGUAACGCGUAGGUAACCUGCCUUGUAGCGGGGGAUAACUAUUGGAAACGAUAGCUAAUACCGCAUAACAAUGGAUGACACAUGUCAUUUAUUUGAAAGGGGCAAUUGCUCCACUACAAGAUGGACCUGCGUUGUAUUAGCUAGUAGGUGAGGUAAUGGCUCACCUAGGCGACGAUACAUAGCCGACCUGAGAGGGUGAUCGGCCAAACUGGGACUGAGACACGGCCCAGACUCCUACGGGAGGCAGCAGUAGGGAAUCUUCGGCAAUGGGGGCAACCCUGACCGAGCAAAGCCGCGUGAGUGAAGAAGGGUUUCGGAUCGUAAAGCUCUGUUGUAAGUCAAGAACGGGUGUGAGAGUGGAAAGUUCACACUGUGACGGUAGCUAACCAGAAAGGGACGGCUAACUACGUG
rnacentral:rRNA from 1 species